CACAAUGUGUUAGAAUUCAUAGUAUGUUUGAGUGGAAUGAGAUCUGUAUUUCUUUGGCUGAGAGUAAAAAUAGUUUGGUAUUUGACUAGACUGAAUUAUAACAUUAGAAUGCUUGAGCCUUAAUUAGUACUUUUUUUUCUUUUUAUGAAUUAAUUCAUAUUUUCUUAAAACAAAAAUACUAAAUGAUUUCUUAGUGCAGAUUGUAUAAUAAUUCAGAGUUUUAUAAUAUAUAUUAUAUAGUACAUUAGAUAAAGUAUCUUUUAUGCAUGUUU
rnacentral:lncRNA from 1 species